GUGCCAGCCGCCGCGGUAAUACCGGCAGCCCAAGUGAUGGCCGAUAUUAUUGGGCCUAAAGCGUCCGUAGCUGGCCAGACAAGUCUGUUGGGAAAUCCACGCGCUCAACGCGUGGGCGUCCAGCGGAAACUGUCUGGCUUGGGGCCGGAGGACUCGAGGGGUGCGUCCGGGGUAGGAGUGAAAUCCCGUAAUCCUGGACGGACCACCGGUGGCGAAAGCGCCUCGAGAGGACGGACCCGACAGUGAGGGACGAAAGCCAGGGUCUCCAACCGGAUUAGAUACCCAGGUAGUCC
rnacentral:rRNA from 1 species